rnacentral:rRNA from 1 species
GACGAACCGUGCGAACGUUGUUCGGAUUCACUGGGCUUAAAGGGCGCGUAGGCGGGCGGUCAAGUCGGGGGUGAAAUCUUUCCGCUUAACGGGAAGCGUGCCUCCGAUACUGAUCGCCUCGAGGGAGGUAGGGGCAUGUGGAACUUCCGGUGGAGCGGUGAAAUGCGUAGAUAUCGGAAGGAACGCCGGUGGCGAAAGCGACGUGCUGGACCUCUUCUGACGCUGAGGCGCGAAAGCUAGGGGAG